rnacentral:lncRNA from 1 species
UUUUCCUUCAAGUAUUGUAAUUUAUACCAUUUUUUUAUGCACUAGUCCUUCCUUCUUCAUGUGUGUGUUUUAGAUUUUUUGUUUUUAUGUUAAAGAAACUCUAUUAUUGUAAAACUCUUUUACAUUGACUCAUGUAUGUCUAUGAAUACCUCAAUAAAUACUAUGUAUAUUAAUAAAAAUGUUAACCUUAAAAUUCUUACAAUUUAUCCAUGUAAUUUUUUAACAAAUUUGGUGUCU